CUGGGUAGCUGAUGGUGAUGGGAGUAACAUAUCCAAAUUUCAUGAGAAUCCGUUCGGUAAUUUUGGAGUUAUACCGUGUGGAAGUUUGAAUGGCUCGCCACGAGGUUGUAGCCGACUCAGAGUUCCAUGAAAUCAGUGGUGCGAGCUGGUCUCUGUUUGGGACAAUUUACACGAAAUCUACCAUACAUGUAAUGUAACUGGUUACCUGAGAGUGCUCCCCUCGUUCGGUAGAUUGAAACUCCCGAACGCCAUUCGGAUACAGUUCGUAAAAAUGGGUCAGACGGGACUUCCAUGGGGGACCGGGGAUUGCUGGAAAGCCAUGCCGAAAAUAGUUCCAGACGCUCGACGCCUAAG